UGUACAGAAGCGUACACAUCAAUUGAUUAACCAUUACAUGUACAAUUUCUUGCUAAAUAAACACCCUCACAUAUACAAAAAAAUAAUAGGGCCAUCACAGUUGAUGUACGCCUGCGCAGUAAUUGUAAUCUUGCAGGAACACACAUGUUUGUAAAAUAAGCACCCUCAGCCAAAAAAUAAGAGGGCCACCCAUCAGCUAACCCAGGUUAGUGAACUCACGGAUUCUACAACAACACUAGUUGCUAUACAAAAUACCAACAAUAUGGGGUGGCAUCACAAAAAAAUUGCCAACCUUUUACCCUAAGUUGCUACAAUGCUACAAAAUGGUUUGGCAAACAAAAAAAAAAAAGACUGCACAUUCAACCUAUAACUUGCGCGCUUCUUGAAUAAGUCGACGCCUGAUCUUGUUAAGCGGAGAUUGCACCAAAUAAAGAGCUAGAAGAAGGCGAGCGUGAUCCAAGUCAUGCUGAAAUAGUUUUAAAAAAAAACCUUUUUUAAAAAGUCGAUCUUCAUCCUGCUGAUAUAAAUCCUUAUUUGUUAAUCUAAUACAGAAAAGAUAUUAUACACCAAUAAGAUACAACUCUACAAACCUGAUAAGAGUCAUGGACAACAAUACAAGGACUAUCCAUAUACUUC
rnacentral:lncRNA from 1 species